UAAAGUGGCGACCGGGUGAGUAACACGUGACUAACCUACCCUCGAGUGGGGAAUAACUCCGGGAAACCGGGGCUAAUACCGCAUAACAUCUUCGGAACGCGAGUUCUGUUGAUCAAAGGAGCAAUUCGCUUGAGGAGGGAGUCGCGGCUGAUUAGCUAGUUGGCGGGGUAAUGGCCCACCAAGGCUUAGAUCGGUAGCCGGCCUGAGAGGGCGCACGGCCACACUGGAACUGAAACACGGUCCAG
rnacentral:rRNA from 1 species